CAAUUCUACAUGUUUUGAAACUAAUUAUUCAUAGUAAAUUCUCAUUAAUACUUUAUAUAAAGAGAAAAUUCAAGUGUUAGAGGCUCUACUGACUUCUCUAAGAGGAUGUGAAAGGUUUCUGAUAGUGAAUCAUAACCCUAAGAGAGAUGUAUGUGGCAAAAGUAUAGUGUAUAAUAAGAUCAGCGGGUUUUUUAUAAGGCAUACAGUCUGUAAAUUGAUAGAUGUCCCUGUGUUACAGAAUGUAGUGUUGAGCUUGCAAAGAAUAAGCCAUUCUUGGAAUAUUUGUGUACAACUGUUGCUUAUCUCAGUAUCACUGUGUUAGUGCUCUU
rnacentral:lncRNA from 1 species